rnacentral:rRNA from 1 species
AUGUCGAGGGAGAUCCAUAAGAUCGCGAGCCUGCGCCGGGACAGUUGGCGAAGCAGCGAUGACGUGUUCUCGCGGUCGUCGUCGCGCUUCCAGGACGAGGAGGACGACGAGGAGGCUCUGCGGUGGGCGGCGCUGGAGCGGCUGCCGACGUACGACCGCGUGCGGCGUGGCAUCCUGCAGGCGGAGACAGGCGAGAAGAUCGACGUGGACGUCGGCAGGCUCGGCGCCCGCGAGAGCCGCGCGCUCAUCGACCGCCUCGUCCGCGCCGCCGACGACGAUCACGAGCGCUUCCUCCUCAAGCUCAAGGACCGCAUGGACAGGGUAGGGAUAGAUUACCCGACCAUCGAGGUGCGGUUCGAGAAGCUGGAGGUGGAGGCGGAGGUGCUCGUCGGCAACCGGGCCCUGCCCACGCUCGUCAACUCCGUCAGGAACACGCUGGAGGCUAUCGGGCAUGCUCUCCACAUCUUUCCCCGAAGGAAGCAUUCGAUGACCAUACUCCAUGAUGUUAGUGGGAUCAUCAAGCCACGAAGGAUGACUUUGCUAUUAGGACCUCCCGGAUCGGGCAAGACCACAUUGCUCUUGGCAUUGGCCGGGAAGCUUGACAAGGAGCUCAAGGUUUCAGGUAAGGUUUCCUACAACGGCUAUGAGAUGAAUGAAUUUGUCCCCGAAAGAACAGCUGCGUACAUCAGCCAGCAUGAUCUCCACACUGGGGAGAUGACUGUAAGGGAGACCUUGGCCUUUUCAGCACGCUGCCAAGGUGUUGGCUCUCGAUAUGAAAUGUUGACUGAGUUGGCAAGAAGGGAAAAUACAGAGAACAUCAAGCCAGAUAAUGAUAUCGAUGUUUAUAUGAAGGCCUCAGCAAUGGGAGGACAAGAAUACAACGUUGUUACAGAGUAUAUACUGAAGGUACAGCAUGCAGUUGUAGAUUUAAUGCUAGAAAUAGAAGGAUCGUUUUUAUUGGGAUAUUUUCUUCUUAAUCAGCUCACUGUCUGCUACUAUGUUACAAACCCGCAGGUGCUAGGAUUGGAUAUCUGUGCUGACACAGUGGUAGGAAAUGACAUGUUAAGGGGUAUAUCCGGUGGACAAAGGAAGCGUGUGACAACAGGUGAAAUGCUUGUUGGUCCAGCAAGAGCUCUGUUCAUGGAUGAGAUAUCUACUGGGCUGGACAGUUCAACCACAUACCAGAUUGUGAACUCCAUUAGGCAGACAAUCCAUGUCCUUGGUGGGACUGCUGUCAUCUCCUUGCUCCAGCCGGCACCAGAAACAUACAACUUAUUUGACGAUAUUAUACUCCUCUCUGAUGGGUAUGUUGUGUACCAAGGAGCCCGUGAACACGUUCUCGAGUUCUUUGAGUCAAUGGGCUUCAGAUGCCCGCAGAGAAAGGGUGUUGCGGACUUCUUGCAGGAAGUGACAUCAAGGAAAGAUCAAGAGCAAUAUUGGUAUAGGAGUGACAUGCCAUAUCAUUUCGUGCCCGUGAAGCAAUUUGCUGAUUCAUUCCAUUCCUUCCACAUAGGACAAUUUGUUCAUAAUGAGCUUUUAGAGCCAUUUGACAGGACCAAGAGCCACCCUGCUGCUCUUGCUACCUCAAAGUUUGGUGUCAGUAGGAUAGAGCUUCUCAAGGCAACCAUGGAUAGAGAGUUUCUACUUAUGAAGAGGAACUCAUUUUAUUUUAUUUUUAAAGCUGCUCAACUAUCUCUUAUGGCAUUCCUCGCGAUGAGUACAUUUUUCCGUACCAACAUGCACCGUGACCCCACUUACGGAACAAUAUAUAUGGGGGCACUAUACUUCGCCAUUGACGCAAUCAUGUUUAAUGGUUUCUCAGAGCUUGGCAUGACUGCCACGAAACUUCCUGUUUUCUUCAAGCAGAGGGACCUUCUGUUUUUCCCUGCAUGGGCCUACACCCUACCAGCGUGGAUUCUCCAGAUUCCUAUAACUCUUUUUGAGGUCGGAGUUUAUGUUUUCACAACAUACUAUGUCAUCGGAUUUGAUCCCAGCGUAAGCAGAUUGUUUAAGCAGUAUAUACUGCUCCUUGCACUCAAUCAGAUGUCAUCCUCACUGUUCCGCUUCAUUGCUGGACUUGGAAGAGACAUGGUUGUGUCUAGCACCUUUGGGCCCUUAGCAUUGGCGUCUUUUACAAUAUUGGGUGGCUUUAUUCUUGCAAGACCUGAUGUGAAGAAAUGGUGGAUUUGGGGUUACUGGGUAUCUCCAUUGUCGUACGCACAGAAUGCUAUUUCAACAAAUGAAUUUCUGGGCCAUAGCUGGAACAAGAUUCUUCCUGGACAAAAUGAUACGAUGGGAAUUAUGGUCCUGAAAUCUCGUGGAAUUUUUACUGAGGCCAAGUGGUAUUGGAUUGGAUUUGGUGCCAUGAUUGGAUACACACUCCUCUUCAACCUGCUAUACACCCUAGCUCUUUCAGUUUUGAAUCCAUUAGGUGACACUCACCCAACAAUGCCUGAAAAUGCAAUAAAGGAAAAGCACGCCAACGUAACUGGAGAAAUUUUGGAAAAUCCCGAGAAAAAGAAAUGUAGAAAUCUAGAAUUGUCUGGCAGCACCAACCAAAACUGUGCGACCAGCAACGUGGAUUCUAGUUCAAGAAGGAAGGGCAUGGUGCUCCCAUUUGCGCAACUGUCACUAAGCUUUAACGCUGUAAAAUACUCAGUGGACAUGCCACAGGCAAUGUCGGCACAAGGAGUGACAGAUGACUGCUUGGUGCUUCUAAAGGGAGUUAGUGGUUCUUUCAGGCCAGGAGUACUUACCGCAUUGAUGGGUGUGAGUGGCGCCGGAAAGACUACUCUUAUGGAUGUAUUAGCGGGAAGAAAAACUGGAGGUUACAUAGAGGGGGAUAUCACCAUCUCAGGCUAUCCAAAGAAGCAAGAGACUUUUGCACGUAUAUCAGGAUACUGUGAGCAAAAUGAUAUUCAUUCUCCGCACGUAACCGUUUAUGAGUCACUCGCGUUUUCCGCAUGGCUGCGGCUUCCAUCGGAAGUUGAUUUAGUCACAAGAAAGAUGUUUAUCGAGGAGGUCAUGGAGCUUGUCGAGCUCACCUCAUUGCGGGGUGCACUUGUUGGUCUUCCAGGAGUUAAUGGCCUAUCAACUGAGCAACGCAAGAGACUAACUAUUGCUGUGGAGCUUGUUGCUAACCCUUCAAUCAUUUUUAUGGAUGAACCAACAUCUGGUCUUGAUGCUCGGGCAGCUGCAAUUGUCAUGAGGGCAGUAAGGAAUACUGUAAAUACUGGUAGGACAGUUGUCUGCACUAUUCACCAGCCAAGUAUUGACAUAUUCGAAGCAUUUGAUGAGCUUUUCCUAAUGAAGAGAGGAGGAGAAGAGAUAUAUGUCGGCCCACUAGGCCAUAAUUCCUCAAAAUUGAUCGAGUACUUCGAGGGAAUUGAAGGCGUUAGUAAGAUAAAAGAUGGAUAUAACCCAGCAACAUGGAUGCUGGAAGUGACAUCUAUUGUCCAAGAGGAGAUGCUUAGUGUUGACUUCUGUGAAAUCUACAGGAGAUCAGAACUCUACCAAAGGAACAAGGAACUCAUAGAAGAGCUAAGCACACCACAUCCUGAUUCCAGUGAUCUCGACUUCCCUUCACUGUACUCGAGAUCAUUCUUCACACAAUGCCUAGCUUGCUUAUGGAAGCAGAAGUUAUCAUAUUGGAGGAACCCAUCUUAUACAGCAAUGAGAUUUCUCUUCACUGUCAUCAUUGCACUACUGUUUGGGACAAUGUUUUGGGGCCUGGGACAAAAAACUAAAAGAGAACAAGAUCUGUUCAAUGCAGUGGGAUCAAUGUAUGCUGCAGUUCUUUACCUCGGAAUCCAAAACUCUGGUACUGUUCAGCCGGUGGUGGCAGUGGAGCGCACAGUUUUUUACAGAGAAAGAGCAGCCGGCAUGUAUUCAGCUUUCCCAUAUGCAUUUGGACAGGUUGCGAUUGAGUUUCCAUACAUCCUCGUGCAGACCGUGAUAUAUGGUGUACUAGUCUAUUCGAUGAUUGGAUUUGAGUGGAGUGUUGCCAAGUUUUUUUGGUACUUGUACUUCAUGUACUUCACGCUUCUAUAUUUCACCUUCUACGGGAUGACGGCGGUAGGACUGACACCAAACGAGAGCGUAGCAGCAAUCAUCUCAGGAGCAGUCUACACUGCUUGGAACCUCUUCUCAGGAUAUCUUAUUCCUCGACCUAAAAUUCCUGUUUGGUGGAGAUGGUAUAGCUGGAUUUGCCCAGUUGCAUGGACACUAUACGGAUUGGUUGCCUCGCAGUUUGGCGAUAUUCAAACGAAACUCGUCACUAAAGAUCAAACUGUGGCCCAGUUCAUCGCAGAGUUCUAUGGGUUCGACCGUGACUUGUUGUGGGUUGUUGCACUAGUUCAUGUAGCUUUCACCGUGGGUUUCGCUUUCAUGUUCAAUUUUGCGAUUAUGAGGUUCAACUUCCAGAGGAGAUGA